CCUGUCCUUGAAAGAGAGUGUGGCUGCUCUGUCCCAUGCGUGUCAGUAGGUGGCAGAGUGGAGACAGGCUGUGUCUCCACUCAGUGUUCUGACCUUUGAACAUCUGAAUGAUCAGUGGCCUAAAAUU
ensembl:snoRNA Gm23437 predicted gene, 23437